GAUGAACGCUGGCGGCGUGCUUAACACAUGCAAGUCGAACGGGAAACCUUUUAUUGAAGCUUCGGCAGAUUUAGCUGGUUUCUAGUGGCGGACGGGUGAGUAACGCGUGGGUAACCUGCCUUAUACAGGGGGAUAACAACCAGAAAUGGUUGCUAAUACCGCAUAAGCGCACAGGACCGCAUGGUCCGGUGUGAAAAACUCCGGUGGUAUAAGAUGGACCCGCGUUGGAUUAGCGAGUUGGCAUGGUAACGGCCUACCAAGGCGACGAUCCAUAGCCGGGCUGAGAGGGUGAACGGCCACAUUGGGACUGAGACACGGUCCAGACUCCUACGCGAGGCAGCAGUGGGGAAUAGUGCACAAUGGGGGAAACCCUGAUGCAGCGACGCCGGGUGAAGGAAGAAGUAUCGCGGUAUGUAAACUGCUAUCAGCAGGGAAGAUAGUGACGGUACCUGACUAAGAAGCCCCGGCUAACUACGUG
rnacentral:rRNA from 1 species